UAUUAUGCAUAGAGACCUUAAGCCGAGAAACAUUUUCCUUCAUGGACCUGAGUGUCAUGUGAAGAUCGGGGACUUUGGAUUGGCUUGCCAAAACUUAAUAAUGGAUGAACAUGAGCAGCUGCCCUCCAGCUCUCAAGCAGGUGUAAACACAGACUCAGCUCACACUAGUGGAGUAGGAACUUUUGUUUACGCUGCCCCAGAACAACUUGAGGGUUCUCACUAUGAUUCAAAGUCAGAUCUGUACAGUAUAGGAGUGAUUGCAUUUGAGUUAUUCCAGCCAUUUGGGACCGAGAUGGAGCGUGUGCAC